rnacentral:rRNA from 1 species
GAUGAACGCUGGCGGCGUGCUUAACACAUGCAAGUCGAACGAUGAAGCCCAGCUUGCUGGGUGGAUUAGUGGCGAACGGGUGAGUAACACGUGAGUAACCUUCCCUUAACUCUGGGAUAAGCCUGGGAAACUGGGUCUAAUACCGGAUAGGAGCGUCCACCGCAUGGUGGGUGUUGGAAAGAUUUAUCGGUUUUGGAUGGACUCGCGGCCUAUCAGCUUGUUGGUGCGGUAAUGGCUCACCAAGGCGACGACGGGUAGCCGGCCUGAGAGGGUGACCGGCCACACGGGGACUGAGACACGGCCCAGACUCCUACGGGAGGCAGCAGUGGGGAAUAUUGCACAAUGGGCGCAAGCCUGAUGCAGCGACGCCGCGUGAGGGAUGACGGCCUUCGGGUUGUAAACCUCUUGCAGUAGGGAAGAAGCGAAAGUGACGGUACCUGCAGAAGAAGCACCGGCUAACUACGUG